rnacentral:rRNA from 1 species
UGAGCAAUCUGCCCUUCUCAUCGGAAUAAGCGUUGGAAACGACGUCUAAUGCCGAAUACGACCUCCUUUCGCAUGAUCGGAGGUGGAAAGCUCCGGCGGAGAAGGAUGAGCUCGCGGCCUAUCAGCUAGUUGGUGUGGGUAAUGGCCCACCAAGGCGACGACGGGUAGCCGGCCUGAGAGGGUGACCGGCCACACUGGGACUGAGACACGGCCCAGACUCCGUACGGGAGGNAGCG